rnacentral:rRNA from 1 species
UGGGGAAUAUUGCACAAUGGGGGAGACCCUGAUGCAGCGACGCCGCGUGAAGGAAGAAGUAUCUCGGUAUGUAAACUUCUAUCAGCAGGGAAGAAAGAGGACGGUACCUGACUAAGAAGCCCCGGCUAACUACGUGCCAGCAGCCGCGGUAAUACGUAGGGGGCGAGCGUUAUCCGGAUUUACUGGGUGUAAAGGGAGCGUAGACGGCCAUGCAAGCCUGAUGUGAAAGGCGUGGGCACAACCCGCGGACUGCAUUGGGAACUGCAUGGCUGGAGUGCCGGAGGGGCAGGCGGAAUUCCUGGUGUAGCGGUGAAAUGCGUAGAUAUCAGGAGGAACACCGGUGGCGUAGGCGGCCUGCUGGACGGCGACUGACGUUGAGGCUCGAAAGCGUGGGGAGCGAACAGG